AUUGAACGCUGGCGGCAGGCCUAACACAUGCAAGUCGAACGGUAGCACAGAGAGCUUGCUCUCGGGUGACGAGUGGCGGACGGGUGAGUAAUGUCCGGGAAACGGCCCGAUGGAGGGGGAUAACUACUGGAAAAGGUAGCUAAUCCCGCAUAACGUAGCAAGACAAAAGUGGGGGACCUUCGUGCCUCCCACCAUCGGAUGUGCCCAGAUGGGAUUAGCUAGUAGGUGGGGUAAUGGCUCACCUAGGCGACGAUCCCUAGCUGGUCUGAGAGGACGACCAGCCACACUGGAACUGAGACACGGUCCAGACUCCUACGGGAGGCAGCAGUGGGGAAUAUUGCACAAUGGGCGCAAGUCUGAUGCAGCCAUGCCGCGUGUAUGAAGAAGGCCUUCGGGUUGUAAAGUACUUUCAGCGGGGAGGAAGGCGGUGAAGUUAAUAACUUCACCGAUUGACGUUACCCGCAGAAGAAGCACCGGCUAACUCUGUGCCAGCAGCCGCCGUAA
rnacentral:rRNA from 1 species